UGGGGAAUUUUCCGCAAUGGGCGAAAGCCUGACGGAGCAACGCCGCGUGAGGGAUGAAGGCCUCUGGGCUGUAAACCUCUUUUCUCAAGGAAGAAGAUCUGACGGUACUUGAGGAAUAAGCCACGGCUAAUUCCGUGCCAGCAGCCGCGGUAAUACGGGAGUGGCAAGCGUUAUCCGGAAUUAUUGGGCGUAAAGCGUCCGCAGGCGGCCUGAUAAGUCUGUUGUCAAAGCGUGGAGCUUAACUCCAUUUCGGCAAUGGAAACUGUGAGGCUUGAGUGUGGUAGGGGCAGAGGGAAUUCCCGGUGUAGCGGUGAAAUGCGUAGAUAUCGGGAAGAACACCAGUGGCGAAGGCGCUCUGCUGGGCCAUAACUGACGCUCAUGGACGAAAGCCAGGGGAGCGAAAGGGAUUAGAUACCCCUGUAGUC
rnacentral:rRNA from 1 species